GCCCCCGUAGCUCAACUGGAUAGAGCAGGCCCGUCCUAAGGGCAAGGUUGUAGGUUCGAUUCCUGUCGGGGGUA
rnacentral:tRNA from 1 species